ACUUCACUAACCGAGCUACUGGAGGUUCCUUGAUGGUGAAGUUGAACGAGAGGAGGUCUCUUCCCGUAUCCUUGAGAUUUAAGGCAUGCGUCUUGCCGGUUAGUAAGGCUGAUGAUGAUACUGGUGAUGAUGAGAGUUUAAUAACGGUAUAUAUUACCAUCAUGGAAAAACAGAGCGGUCUCGGGGUCCUUGCAGACCAAGAGAGCUGUCUCUACCUCCGCCUUUAACAGGGCACUUGUAUACCUUCGAAAUAGAAGCAAAUGUGACUUCCACCGAGCUUACCUUUGAGUUCAGUGUCCACCGUGAAAACUGGGAGAUAGGAGAAUGCGGGGUAUUCGAGCUCAUGGAGGCCCCUCGUGUUCAUGAACACGAUGUAUCCUCAGACAGCGACAUCGGAGGCAACCACUAAACUGAAGAUUAUGGCAAGCAGCUGGAGACCAAAACAAGUAAACAUUCUUCUGUCUGGUGCUUGUAAAGAUGAUGAUGACAGACAGGUGUAGAGCAAGAGAGGGAGCUGGCAGGAUCCGCCGACCUGUAUAGAGAACGUAAACAAAACAGUCCGUGAGAAGUUCUAUUUUAGCUUUACACUUUCAGUUUUCAUCGAUUGUAUUCAAUUUAAACUGAGAACAAAGUGCUAUUGGCUAAUAGUAAGCUGACAAGUGAAUAGACAUAUUAAAGAGACUACUAUAUUAUGACUAAAUAUCUGAGAACAACAAGGAAUUAUCAAAAGAA